GACGAACGCUGGCGGCGUGCUUAACACAUGCAAGUCGAACGGAAAGGCCCUGCUUUUGUGGGGUGCUCGAGUGGCGAACGGGUGAGUAACACGUGAGUAACCUGCCCUUGACUUUGGGAUAACUUCAGGAAACUGGGGCUAAUACCGGAUAGGAGCUCCUGCUGCAUGGUGGGGGUUGGAAAGUUUCGGCGGUUGGGGAUGGACUCGCGGCUUAUCAGCUUGUUGGUGGGGUAGUGGCUUACCAAGGCUUUGACGGGUAGCCGGCCUGAGAGGGUGACCGGCCACAUGGGGACUGAGAUACGGCCCAGACUCCUACGGGAGGCAGCAGUGGGGAAUAUUGCACAAUGGGCGGAAGCCGGAUGCAGCAACGCCGCGUGCGGGAUGACGGCCUUCGGGUUGUAAACCGCUUUCGCCUGUGACGAAGCGUGAGUGACGGUAAUGGGUAAAGAAGCACCGGCUACUACGUG
rnacentral:rRNA from 1 species